AACAAUGAACUUUCCGAUAAUAAGCACCCAAGUCUAGAAGGAUUUCCGAACAAUGCGUGCCUGUUGUUUGCGCAUGCUCAAACACUAACAGCCGCUGACCUACUAUCGCCAUGCGCAUGCUGGUAUGCCAGAAAUCACUGACCAUACUAACUAACACACUAACUGCGCUCUUUGUUGUUAACUUAGUUAAAUUGCAUUUAACUGCAUGAAAAUUAAGUUGAUUAACUAUCACUUUUCUCAGACAAAUAGAAUGAAUUAUCCUAAUGAGUAAUGAAUAUUGUCUGGCAUUCGUAUCCCGCGAAGCGAAUUACUAAACCUUCGCCAUUCAAAGUCGCCAUUGACAUCUGCGUCCAGC